rnacentral:rRNA from 1 species
GCUUGCUAGAUUGAUGGCGAGUGGCGAACGGGUGAGUAAUACAUCGGAACGUGCCCUGUAGUGGGGGAUAACUAGUCGAAAGAUUAGCUAAUACCGCAUACGACCUGAGGGUGAAAGUGGGGGACCGCAAGGCCUCAUGCUAUAGGAGCGGCCGAUGUCUGAUUAGCUAGUUGGUGGAGUAAAGGCCCACCAAGGCGACGAUCAGUAGCUGGUCUGAGAGGACGAUCAGCCACACUGGGACUGAGACACGGCCCAGACUCCUACGGGAGGCAGCAGUGGGGAAUUUUGGACAAUGGGCGAAAGCCUGAUCCAGCAAUGCCGCGUGUGUGAAGAAGGCCUUCGGGUUGUAAAGCACUUUUGUCCGGAAAGAAAUGGCUCUGGUUAAUACCUGGGGUCGAUGACGGUACCGGAAGAAUAAGGACCGGCUAACUACGUGCCAGCAGCCGCGGUAAUACGUAGGGUCCAAGCGUUAAUCGGAAUUACUGGGCGUAAAGCGUGCGCAGGCGGUUGUGCAAGACCGAUGUGAAAUCCCCGAGCUUAACUUGGGAAUUGCAUUGGUGACUGCACGGCUAGAGUGUGUCAGAGGGGGGUAGAAUUCCACGUGUAGCAGUGAAAUGCGUAGAGAUGUGGAGGAAUACCGAUGGCGAAGGCAGCCCCCUGGGAUAACACUGACGCUCAUGCACGAAAGCGUGGGGAGCAAACAGGAUUAGAUACCCUGGUAGUCCACGCCCUAAACGAUGUCAACUAGUUGUUGGGGAUUCAUUUCCUUAGUAACGUAGCUAACGCGUGAAGUUGACCGCCUGGGGAGUACGGUCGCAAGAUUAAAACUCAAAGGAAUUGACGGGGACCCGCACAAGCGGUGGAUGAUGUGGAUUAAUUCGAUGCAACGCGAAAAACCUU